rnacentral:tRNA from 1 species
UCCAGACCUGGUAGAAAUAUCAGGGUCAACUGUAACCAGUAAGUCGCAGGUUCGAGUCCUGCCCGGGGAGCCA